GCCCUAAGGUCCCCAAACCCUUUUUCUACAUUACUUUUCCUAUUCUUUACCCAACAUUGGUAAAGCAACGCCGCUACAAAUUUCUCUGCUCUUCGGGAAGAUUUCUUCUCUUCUUUGGAUGCAGAAGUUAUGUUGUAGUGAUUGAAGAACAACUUUGACAUUAUCUUCCAUUUUGCUUUUCUCACAAGAGAGAUGGAAGUGGAUCCCUUAGACAUUGAUAUGGAAGAACAAGUGGAGUAUCAACAUGACAACAUUAAUAUUGUUGAAUCACAUGAGGAGUGGACCACAUGGAGGGGUGAGUUGGCUCAAUCAAUGUGGAAUGCAAGUCUAAACAAUUGAUCGUUUCAAAACGUUCCAUGCUUGUAUUAUAUUUUGUGGUGUUUGGGUAUUUUUCUCUUUAGUUUUUUGUAUGAUUGUAAGGAAUAUCAACUUUCAGUUUUUUGUGAUUAUAAGAAAUAGUUACUUACUUUGAUUUU